rnacentral:rRNA from 1 species
UGACAUACACCGGAAAGCAUCAGAGAUGGUGCCCCCCUUGUGGUCGGUGUACAGGUGGUGCAUGGCUGUCGUCAGCUCGUGUCGUGAGAUGUUGGGUUAAGUCCCGCAACGAGCGCAACCCUCGUUCUAUGUUGCCAGCACGUUAUGGUGGGAACUCAUAGGAGACUGCCGGGGUCAACUCGGAGGAAGGUGGGGAUGACGUCAAAUCAUCAUGCCCUUAUGUCAUGGGCUUCACGCAUGCUACAAUGGCCUAUACAAAGGGCUGCAAUACCGUAAGGUGGAGCGAAUCCCAAAAAGUCGGUCUCAGUUCGGAUUGAGGUCUGCAACUCGACCUCAUGAAGUCGGAGUCGCUAGUAAUCGCAGAUCAGCAACGCUGCGGUGAAUACGUUCCCGGGCCUUGUACACACCGAAGGGCG